rnacentral:rRNA from 1 species
CGAAACCGAGUGAUCUAGCCAUGGGCAGGUUGAAGGUUGAGUAACAUCAACUGGAGGACCGAACCGACUAAUGUUGAAAAAUUAGCGGAUGACUUGUGGCUAGGGGUGAAAGGCCAAUCAAACUCGGAGAUAGCUGGUUCUCCCCGAAAGCUAUUUAGGUAGCGCCUCGGACGAAUACUACUGGGGGUAGAGCACUGUUAAGGCUAGGGGGUCAUCCCGACUUACCAACCCUUUGCAAACUCCGAAUACCAGUAAGUACUAUCCGGGAGACACACGGCGGGUGCUAACGUCCGUCGUGGAGAGGGAAACAACCCAGACCGCCAGCUAAGGUCCCAAAUUACAGCUAAGUGGGAAACGAUGUGGGAAGGCUUAGACAGCUAGGAUGUUGGCUUAGAAGCAGCCAUCAUUUAAAGAAAGCGUAAUAGCUCACUAGUCGAGUCGGCCUGCGCGGAAGAUGUAACGGGGCUAAGUUGUAAACCGAAGCUGCGGCAAUGUUCUAUGAACAUUGGGUAGGGGAGCGUUCUGUAAGCCGUUGAAGGUGUGUUGUAAAGCAUGCUGGAGGUAUCAGAAGUGCGAAUGCUGACAUGAGUAACGACAAGGGGGGUGAAAAACCUCCCCGCCGGAAGACCAAGGGUUCCUGUCCAACGUUAAUCGGGGCAGGGUAAGUCGACCCCUAAGGCGAGGCUGAAAAGCGUAGUCGAUGGGAAACGGGUUAAUAUUCCCGUACUUCUUACAAUUGCGAUGGGGGGACGGAGAAGGCUAGGUGGGCCUGGCGACGGUUGUCCAGGUUCAAGUGCGUAGGCUGAGUGUUUAGGUAAAUCCGGAUACUCUUAAGGCUGAGACACGACGUCGAGCUACUACGGUAGUGAAGUCAUUGAUGCCAUGCUUCCAGGAAAAGCCUCUAAGCUUCAGAUUGUAAGGAAUCGUACCCCAAACCGACACAGGUGGUCGGGUAGAGAAUACCAAGGCGCUUGAGAGAACUCGGGUGAAGGAACUAGGCAAAAUGGUACCGUAACUUCGGGAGAAGGUACGCUCUUGAUGGUGAAGUCCCUUGCGGAUGGAGCUGACGAGAGUCGCAGAUACCAGGUGGCUGCAACUGUUUAUUAAAAACACAGCACUGUGCAAAAUCGUAAGAUGACGUAUACGGUGUGACGCCUGCCCGGUGCCGGAAGGUUAAUUGAUGGGGUUAGCGUAAGCGAAGCUCUUGAUCGAAGCCCCGGUAAACGGCGGCCGUAACUAUAACGGUCCUAAGGUAGCGAAAUUCCUUGUCGGGUAAGUUCCGACCUGCACGAAUGGCGUAAUGAUGGCCACGCUGUCUCCACCCGAGACUCAGUGAAAUUGAAAUCGCUGUGAAGAUGCAGUGUACCCGCGGCUAGACGGAAAGACCCCGUGAACCUUUACUACAGCUUGGCACUGAACAUUGAACCUACAUGUGUAGGAUAGGUGGGAGGCUUUGAAGACGUGACGCCAGUUGCGUUGGAGCCGUCCUUGAAAUACCACCCUUGUAUGUUUGAUGUUCUAACGUUGGCCCCUAAUCGGGGUUGCGGACAGUGCCUGGUGGGUAGUUUGACUGGGGCGGUCUCCUCCCAAAGAGUAACGGAGGAGCACGAAGGUGGGCUAAUCACGGUUGGACAUCGUGAGGUUAGUGCAAUGGCAUAAGCCCGCUUAACUGCGAGAAUGACGGUUCGAGCAGGUGCGAAAGCAGGUCAUAGUGAUCCGGUGGUUCUGAAUGGAAGGGCCAUCGCUCAACGGAUAAAAGGUACUCCGGGGAUAACAGGCUGAUACCGCCCAAGAGUUCAUAUCGACGGCGGUGUUUGGCACCUCGAUGUCGGCUCAUCACAUCCUGGGGCUGAAGUCGGUCCCAAGGGUAUGGCUGUUCGCCAUUUAAAGUGGUACGCGAGCUGGGUUUAGAACGUCGUGAGACAGUUCGGUCCCUAUCUGCCGUGGGCGUUGGAAGAUUGAAGGGGGCUGCUCCUAGUACGAGAGGACCGGAGUGGACGAACCUCUGGUGUUCGGGUUGUGUCGCCAGACGCAUUGCCCGGUAGCUAAGUUCGGAAUCGAUAACCGCUGAAAGCAUCUAAGCGGGAAGCGAGCCCUGAGAUGAGUCUU